rnacentral:rRNA from 1 species
GGUCAAUAGUACGUUGGGUUUAGGUCAACGGCAGCCGGGGGACACUACGGUGGGAAGCGGCGAACGGGUGAGUCACACGUCGGUCGAACCGCCCAUCCAGAACGGGGAACAACGAUUCGGAAACGAUCGCUAAUAACCGGAUAGGAACGAAAGUUUAAAGAAGCUCCCGGCAUCACCGACGGAUGAGCCCGCGGCGCAUUAGCUAGUUCGGUGGGGUAAAGGCCCACCAAGGCGACGAUGCGUAGCCGACCUGAGAGGGUGAACGGCCACACUGGGACUGAGACACGGCCCAGACUCCUACGGGAGGCAGCAGUAGGGAAUCUUCGGCAAUGGGCGAAAGCCUGACCGAGCAACGCCGCGUGAAUGAAGAAGGCCUUCGGGUUGUAAAAUUCUGUUAUAAGGGAAGAAAGGUGAUAGGAGGAAAUGACUAUCAAUUGACGGUACCUUAUGAGAAAGCCACGGCUAACUACGUGCCAGCAGCCGCGGUAAUACGUAGGUGGCAAGCGUUAUCCGGAAUUAUUGGGCGUAAAGAGCGCGCAGGUGGUUAAUUAAGUCUGAUGUGAAAGCCCACGGCUUAACCGUGGAGGGUCAUUGGAAACUGGUUGACUUGAGUGCAGAAGAGGGAAGUGGAAUUCCAUGUGUAGCGGUGAAAUGCGUAGAGAUAUGGAGGAACACCAGUGGCGAAAGCGGCUCUCUGGUCUGCAACUGACGCUGAGGCUCGAAAGCAUGGGUAGCGAACAAGAUUAAAUA